rnacentral:rRNA from 1 species
AUUGAACGCUGGCGGCAUGCUUUACACAUGCAAGUCGAACGGCAGCGCGGGCUUCGGCCUGGCGGCGAGUGGCGAACGGGUGAGUAAUACAUCGGAACGUGCCCAGUAGUGGGGGAUAGCUCGGCGAAAGCCGGAUUAAUACCGCAUACGACCUGAGGGUGAAAGCGGGGGAUCUUCGGACCUCGCGCUAUUGGAGCGGCCGAUGGCAGAUUAGCUAGUUGGUGGGGUAAAGGCCUACCAAGGCGACGAUCUGUAGCUGGUCUGAGAGGACGACCAGCCACACUGGGACGGAGACACGGCCCAGACUCCUACGGGAGGCAGCAGUGGGGAAUUUUGGACAAUGGGCGAAAGCCUGAUCCAGCAAUGCCGCGUGUGUGAUGAAGGCCUUCGGGUUGUAAAGCACUUUUGGCGGGAACGAAAAGGACUGUGCCAAUGCCACGGUUCGAUGACGGUACCCGCAGAAUAAGCACCGGCUAACUACGUG